ensembl:lncRNA
GUGAGGGGAGCAGCGUGCAAGACGUGGGAGAGUAGGGUCGAGGAGAGGCGGUCCAGCCGGCCGGAAGCGGGAGAGGGGCAGGCCGUGGCGCCUGACCGCUGGGGACAGGAGAGGCUUGCACAGAGGACCAGGGACGUGCCGGGCCACGAGGGCCGGCGGAGGGCCCGAAGGAAGGGCUGGACGUGGAGAAUCAAGGAAGUGUGUUCCCGUGAGUGGACCAGGGCCCCGAGGAAGCGCACCCGGGAGCAGAGCACAGCGUGGGCGAGGAAUCAAGGAACGCAGGAGAGGCGGGAGGGAGGAGAACGGAGGAGGAUGAGGCGGUGGUGGUAGUGGCCUGGAAGGUGCUGGAGACAGCCCUGUCAGUGUGGGGCACGGGGAGACGGGAAAGGUCAGAGAGACGCCCAGAGGAGGAGUGACCGUCUCAAAAACGGUGGCAGCUAAAACGGUAGGGGCCUUGGGAGCGAACCGGGAGAGCAGAUGGAUUCGGCACAGCACGUUGGCGAUGAGGAGGGCAAGGCGGGGAGCAUGAGGGCAGGGCAUCCAGGGCACAAGUUGCUGGGAGAAGACGGUGGCUGCCUCACGGGCCCGACAGCUACGAGGGCGAGUAGGACGGUGGCUGAAGAGGACGCGAGGGUCUCUCAGAGACGACAGUGGGAGAAAAAGAGGAGGAUGGGCCAAGAAGGGUUGAAAUCCGCACAGCAGGGACGUGCGCAGAGGGCGAUAGUGGAGUCUCGGGCAGCCGUGAGCAGGUGGUCUGCGGGCUGUGGGUGGGGGGUCAGGAUAGCCGAUGGGAAGAGACAGGGGCAGGCGGGACUGAAGAGGGGAGGGAACCUCGUGAACGUGCGGGGGACUCCGGGUGGGAAAAGGGGAAGCCAGCCUGAAGAGCGUGCGGUGUUGGGACAUGGGCCGAUGUCUGGGCAAGGGGCUUGGCAGGGGAGGAAUGGAGGCCACGUGGCAGGAGCAGGGCGGGAGCGCGGAGGCAGGACUCACGGCCCGGGGGGUGUGAAGAGCCGGACCCCUGGGGAACAGGUGCGGAAAGGGGAUACAGUGGCUGUAGUGACACAGAGGAAACGGGGCAGGCUGGCAGUUACGAGGCACCCCGCUCAGGAAGCACGUCAGGGCCUUCGGGAUGGACUCACGAGCAUGGAGUCCAGCGUGUGGAUGGCAGGCACGCUUAGAAAUGGCAGAGGAGCAGGUAGGAAGCAAGGCGGAGGUGAGAGUUCGCAAAGAUCGCCAAAUGCCUGCUUCUGCUAUUUCAGGGGACCCGGAGAGGAAUGGAGGUAGUCUAGCACGGGGCGGGAGGAGCCCGCAGAGGCAAGCACGGAUAGACGGGGACCUUCAAACCAGCGUGGGGUCACAGGUCGUGUCGCAGAAGAUGACGUAGUCUAGCACGGGGCGGGAGGAGCCCGCAGAGGCAAGCACGGAUAGACGGGGACCUUCAAACCAGCGUGGGGUCACAGGUCGUGUCGCAGAAGAUGACGUUGUCAGCCAAGGGGCGCGGAGGGAGAGAGCGAGGGGUGGGACAGUGGGGGCUGGGAGGUGGGGGCUCUUGCCCUGCCGGCUGCAGCCAAGGGACAACAGAGAGAGGGCAAGGCAGAAAGGGCUGGAGACCGAGAGGAGCAUCUCAAAGUCUGCAUGUGGGUGUUGUGAGGGGACCGUGCCCAAGAGGGCAAGAGGGCAGAGCGGGGUGGAUCCCGACCUGGCCCACUGGGAGCAGGAGAGCAAGGGCGAUGGGCAGGGGCGCAGCAUGGGUCCCGAAGAAGGAGAGAAGGAAGGCGUGGGGGCAAAGGAAGGAAGCGGAGGACUGAGCGGCGGGACCGCGUAGAGGCCAGUAGACAGUGGCUUGAUGAAAGGGAAGACGGAAGAGGCAGGAAGGUGAGACGGGCCAAGGCUAGGGAAGAGGGAGCCUCCAGGGAAGGCGGUGGCGGGAGCCAGCGGAAGGACGAGACGAGAGACAGCAGAUGGCUUCUGGAGUGAACGCGGCCCGCUGAGGGGAUGGAAAGAGCGUGAGCAGUGAGGGCCCUACACGGGAGGGAGCACAGCCCCAAGGAGAAGGGAUGACUGAAUACAACUCAAUGCCAGUAGACAGUGGCUUGAUGAAAGGGAAGACGGAAGAGGCAGGAAGGUGAGACGGGCCAAGGCUAGGGAAGAGGGAGCCUCCAGGGAAGGCGGUGGCGGGAGCCAGCGGAAGGACGAGACGAGAGACAGCAGAUGGCUUCUGGAGUGAACGCGGCCCGCUGAGGGGAUGGAAAGAGCGUGAGCAGUGAGGGCCCUACACGGGAGGGAGCACAGCCCCAAGGAGAAGGGAUGACUGAAUACAACUCAAUGCCAGGCGUUAGGGAGCUCUGAGAGGAGAGGCGUGAGCCGUAGGGGAGAGGCUGGGCGCUCUGCUGGGCCGACUAGGGGAAGGGCAGCCAUGCGUCCCGUCCCGUCCCGGCCCGUGAGGAGAGGUCGCAAGGGAGAAGCUUGAACGUGAGAGGCUACUGCAGCGGGAGCGUCACCUCCCCGAGACAGACAGGCUUCGGAGGGCCCCGCAGGAGAGGAUGGAGAGUGGAGGGGUGGGUGGAAGGAAGACAGGCUGGACGCCAACAGGAGGGUUUUGCGAAAAUGAGAGGCAGGUGGCAGAUGUGGAUGUCCACAUCCAGAGAGGUGGCGGAGGUGCCAGCGGGCUGGAAGUGAGGAGCGUCGGGGGCCCGCCAACGGGGGCAGAGGCAUGGGGAAGGAGGAGCGGAGAAGAAGGGGUGGCUAGCGGUGGGCGGAGAGCAGUGGCUGCUCCUGCGGCCUUGAAUGUGGUGGCAAGGGUGGAACUCUUCGGCCAGGCUCUUCGCUACGGAUCCGGCAGGG